AAAAGGUAUAAGGUUUCAUGCUAUUUGUGUUACGGUAGCGUUAAUAUAAUUUGAACCCGAAGCCUAAAGGUUGAAAAUAUACCUAAUUGGAAAAUAUAUUUGACGCAUAAAUAACGCACCAUAACAAUAUUUUAACUAACAAUUCAAUGUAUAUGUCAUGAAAUAUCCUGCGACAGUAAUGAAGCAAAAAUUGCCUUCCGCCUUCAAUUUAUAAUACUUCAAAUCCGAAAAAGUUUUCAAUGCAUGAUUAUAUUUAUUAAAAACUUCAAUUAAUUAUAUACAUGCGCACAAUACAAAACAUAUAUAGAAUCCACGUAUAUAUAUCCUCAGUCAGGGAUUAUAUAGGCCUAUACGUGACAAAUUAUGAUAAUAAUCAAAACACAUGCAGAUUAAUUUUAA